CAAAAUGGAUGGAAUUAAUGGUAAGGAUAACAUUGAUGCAUGCCAUAUAGAAUAGGGAGGAUAUCGAUUGAAUAAAAAGAAUAGGGACUAAAAUCAGGAGUUUGGAAUAGUACAGGGACAAUUGGUGAUAAAAAGGCCGGAAGUUAUUUUAUCAAGAGGGGUUUUUUAUGCAUUUCAUCUUGGCUUACUGAUGAAGGUUUUCUACAUGAAUAGAACAUGGCUUGAGAUGGCAGCAGGAAAUCCAUUCGGAAAGGUAAGAAAGGAAAAGGAAGGGGGGAAAGACUUUUCUUGGGGGGGAGUCUCCUUCUCGUCUGACACUUUCCCCCAAGCUACACUACAUCGAUUCUCUAUCUUUGUCUCUCUCUCUCUCCCUCCGAUUCAUCACUGUUUUUUUUAUAUAUGCCGCGAUCAAAGAAGUCAGAGCCGCAGAUUCGACGGCCGCCAAGUAUCUGGAGAUCCCUCUACUUCUUGAAUAUUCAACUUCUUCAGAACUGACUAAUUUUACUAGUUACAAUGAAUUGUUGGGAAAAUUUUCUGCCUUCCGAUAAACUGAACGUCUUACGGAAGCCUUAUGGACCUUGGUUUAACGGAAUUUGGGUUAUCGAAAUUUGGUUUAUAUUAACGUUCUAUUGAUGUUGUGAAUUUGAACAAGAGGAAAAGCUUUGACCUUGUACGAUCACCAGCAAUUCUGUGUUUCUUGGUAUUUGGUACUGAAUCAAUGUGAAAUCCCGUUCCUGGAUUUCACUGUUAUAAUCUACGUAUUUGUAUUA